rnacentral:lncRNA from 1 species
ACAAGGCAAGCUAGGAGCAGCAGAGUGAAGCCCAGGCCCUGCAGAAAAUAGCAGCUGAGGGUGAGGAGGAGAGGAGGGUGAGGAAGGAAUCCACAGAUUCAUUGAUUUCACCAGCAUCUGCUGUGUAAGAAGCAAGCUCUGGACUGGACUGGAUUUCUUGGCCACUUCCUCAUCUUGGUGCAGCGGAGAGGAGAGGCCAGACUCAGGCCUGAUCCAGCUCCCCUGACCCCAGCCCUGCGUACCCUCAGCUCGGCCCCCUCUUCCCACAGGCUUGGGACUCGCUCUGGGGGGCCCUGCUCUUCCCAGGGGUUCCUGGGGGCUUGAGGAGCCUUCUGCCUGCAGCCACAAGCCUUCUUGGGGAGCAGCCGACCGGCUCCAAGCCUGGCUGACUGAAAUGAGAUUCAGAAGAGAACCUCAUCGCCUCCUGCCCCCGAGCCCGCUUCCCUCACUCUAAAUAAUUUAGACAAACACACAUCUCUUUCACAGUGGCUGCCCUGAGCCCCUUUUGUCAAAAUCAGUCCUUUGCACAAUGUUUUCAGAGGACAGGAGGUUGCCACGAGCCGUUGGAUUCGGGGCAGAUGCAUCAUGCAUGACGGGAGACAGCUGCUCCGGCCCCGCCCAGCCCCAGCGGCUACAGUGGCGAGACACCUCCGAACCCCAGCCAGCUGCAGGAUUAUUCCAGAAGGCCCAACCCUUGUCCUGCUGCAGCUCGGAGCCUCCUGAGAAGAACAGACACCCAGACACUGAAG